CUUCCUGUCUUUGUUUGCUUUCCCUCCAGUUUUGAUUGCUGGCCCCUCCUUGAUUGUUUGCACCUGUGUCUCGUUGUCUCGCCUCCCUUACGGUAUUUAGUCCGGGUCUUUUCCUUUGUUCGUUGUGGGAUUGUUGUGUCCCUGUCAUGUGUGUGUUCCAUUGUGCCAUUGUCCAGCGGCCAGGCAGUUGUUUCUGAUCAGCUUUCAGACUGCAACUAACCAGCCAACAACCAGCACAACAGCAGCAGCCAACCAGAACUGCAACGCUGCUGUCUGUCCUUCUGUAAAGCUGCUUCUGUCACACAGUCUAAGCAGCGAUGGCACCUCCAGUGUCCGCCUCGCUGCAGCAGGAGCCUCCGUGGAGCCCGCCAGACUCCGGCCUGUCACAAGCUGUUUAGGAGGAGGCGGACGGCGCCAUCCUUUAAUCAGCUUCAGGGUCUCCAUCGUGCUGCUCUCACUCGCCGACAGGCUGAUACAGACAAUCCCAUCACCUACAAUGCCCAUCAAAAGAGAGGAUCUGGUGCCGCUGCUGACUUUUCUGGUUGUUCUCUUUCUCUGAUGCUCCAGGGAAUAAAGCCGUGGAGUCGUUCACAGAGUCACUGGAAAUUAAACGUAAAGGAAACUGAUUGGUUUUUGCAGGGGGGCAUCUCUCUAUCUAUCUUGUACCUAAACAUUUUCUAAUUUUUUUUGUUUAUUACAAUAAUUUAGCUGUGUUUAACGUUAUUUAUUCAGAUGUUUUUUUUCUUUCUUAAAAACAUUUUUAAUUAAGCCUUUUCUUCUAUCCAUCCACGUAUUAUAUAUAAAGUAAAGUUUAACUUUAUUAUCCAAAAAGGAAAAUUCACUUGGUCUUGCAAAAAAUAUAAAAGAAAAUACAAAUACACAGUACAGAAGCUGCACGUCACCUAAAGGUGAUAUGUCUUAUAUGCCCCCGUCCCUGUCCCCUAUUAAUAAUACAUUUAAAUAAAUGACAAUAAAAACAUAAAACAUAUUACACAAUUGCAAAAAAUGCAAUAGUGCCAGUAGCCACUGCUAGACAUGGCACAAAUGGAGGCAGCUGUUAAACACAGCAGCAGGAAACAAAUGUGCUUAAAUCUUGUGGUUUUGAUAUUAUGCUAUAGUAUUCAACUCAACUCAUGCUCGUGUCGGGGUUAUUUAAAAUGGGGUUAUUGUAAAGUUGUGCUGUUGUCAGUUCGACUGUGAUGGGCUUACUAUCUUUCUAAUCUGCUGAAGUUUGUUGUUUCAGCUCUUAACACACAUUUGCACGAUUGUGCAGCUGCACAAGUAUGCAAUCAAUUUGGGAUUGUUGUCAAUCUCAGUACCAAGAUAUCUAAAGGCUGAGACUCCUACAACUGAGUCACUGUCAAUCAAGCACCACGUCUGUGGUCUUUUUGCCGUUACCCUGAAGAAAGUUAUCUGUACACCAUCCAUCUAUUCAUCUAUCUCUUGGCUGUGGAUCUAAAGGCCCCUUUGAUCAGGUUGUGGACCAGCAGUGGGAGGUUUGGAGCACCAGCAAUGAGAACAACAGUUCAGAAACUUUUAGUCAAGUUAUGUUUUUUUUUAUACUAUUUUUCCAGCUUAACUAUAUAAAUGGU